CCUACGGGUGGCUGCAGUGGGGAAUAUUGGACAAUGGGGGCAACCCUGAUCCAGCCAUGCCGCGUGUGUGAAGAAGGCCCUCGGGUUGUAAAGCACUUUCAGUGAGGAAGAACGCCUGGUGGUUAAUACCCAUCAGGAAAGACAUCACUCACAGAAGAAGCACCGGCUAACUCCGUGCCAGCAGCCGCGGUAAUACGGAGGGUGCGAGCGUUAAUCGGAAUUACUGGGCGUAAAGCGCGCGUAGGUGGCUUGAUAAGCCGGUUGUGAAAGCCCCGGGCUCAACCUGGGAACGGCAUCCGGAACUGUCAAGCUAGGGUGCAGGAGAGGAAGGUAGAAUUCCCGGUGUAGCGGUGAAAUGCGUAGAGAUCGGGAGGAAUACCAGUGGCGAAGGCGGCCUUCUGGACUGACACUGACACUGAGGUGCGAAAGCGUGGGUAGCAAACAGGAUUAGAUACCCCAGUAGUC
rnacentral:rRNA from 1 species